GAAGGCUGCCUUGGUUUGGUCACCGACUUCGGAGACUCAUGCUAGUAAACCAGGAGGAUUGGCUGCAGCAGCAACACCGUCUCCUGGCCGGCCCGUGUCACCUGCUUCAUCCGGAGUCAUCCAGUGGAUGUCUAUGAUGGCCGAUCACGCACACAGCAGUGUCUCUACCCACCACGAUGUGCACUACAUGUGGAAUGGUGUGGAGGUAAGCUAAACACCCACAUUCCACCACAACGGUGGGCCCGAUCCAUUCGAAUCUGAUAAGAAGAUCUGGCUCACUCUUGUGGAUCUGACGGAAUUGUAGCCUACCACAGGGGAAAAACGAAAAUGUGUCAGAGGGAAUUGAAAUGACAAAAUGUUGCAAUAUACAGGAAGUAAAUCUCUGUAUAAAUAUCAAUUAGGUUGACACAUUUUUGUCAAAAAUACUGGAUGUUGAUGAAAUCUGACCGAACUGCCCAGUAACUGGUACUGGGAUAUUUUCAGCAGUUUCACCGACAAACACACUAAAUAUAGCAUAACUGUUUACGGUAGGCCUAAUUACCACAUAAACCACAGCUACCGAAGGCAAAACUAUGUCAACUGUUAUAAAGCGUCUAAGUUUACUUCCUGUUCCCUAACUUCGAUGAAAAUCAGUGAAAACCCUAAGGGACAAUUCCAUUUACUUCCUCUAAAGCGGGCUGGGCCAAAAUGUCACCUGUCCCCUGUCGCAAUUACGGAGACCCCGGGUCUUUAUAAUUAUUGAACUUAAUCACCUGCACAUUCCAGACGCGGCCACAAAAAAGAGGACGGGGCGAAUCUGUCACAUUAGUCAUCAGUCAUGUGUGAACGGCUCUGAAUCGCCGAUAAUCAGCCAUUUUUAAUUGUUAUUCUUUAUUAACCAUUGAAUGCAAAACGACACCCAACUAAAGAACACAUCGCCGGACAACUCUAUAUAGUGGCCCAACAACAAAAGAGCCUUUUAUAUAAUGAAGCGCCCAGGAGGUUGCCAGUUACACCCAGUAGUUGGCCCAACGUGUCUUGAUUACCGUUAGACAAAACCUUAUGAAUAUUGAUUGUUUAAUGGUCAAUAUAAAUCCCGCUUUAUAAAUAGGUAUAGAGAUAUAAAUACAGCCUCCCCUCCUUGCCUUUGCCUGACUCAUGCCCUAUUUUAGAAUGGGCAGGCUCCUGCGCCCCACUUUUGUUUUACUUUAAUUACCAGGAUGGAAAAUGUCGCUAAAUGAAAUCGGUAAGUUACUGUGAAGUAUUUUUGCUUAACAUCCACAGGGAGAAGAUCCGGAGGAACUGUCAGGACUUGUGCUGUAUGAAAGAUGAAGGGAUUUGGCGGAUGAAGUUAGCAAAGCGCUCCUCUCGGAAGACUGACAGUUUGCUGGAUGUAAUCGGUAGACUUAUUGGGUAUAAAGCUGGCAAAUUCGGAACGAAAACCUUAUAUCGAGGAUUAAAUCAAACGACGCACCUUAAACAAUCAAAAAGAGCAAAAAUUCCGAUGCUGCCAGCUUUUUUUAGUCGGUUUAACGGACUUUUCAUCUCAAUGUAUUUAUUUGGCGCAAUAAGCGUUUUAUUAAACAUUAAAAUCGACUCUUUCGGAACAAUCGGAACUGGACGAAUCUGUAAUCGUCAGGAGUUUUCUAAAUCUGGUUAAGACACGUGAUAAGGGGAAAAAUAAAGAUCGUUAAGGGGCCGGAUAGAAAUCGAUACCCAUCAGCGAAAACUCGUCUCGGGCAGGAGGGCAUUUUUUCCUCUUCUGUUCCUCCCCUUCAGGCUUUGUGUCCACCGAUCGAACUCGGGUUGGCACGCAACUAUCACUCCACAUAUACAAAUAUGUGCACACCAGCCCGGUCCUUCUAAUGGACCUUAUUAUUGGCUAUCGGUUGGCUAAAGACAGAAAGUCGUUCUAGAGGAAGCAAAGUGUUAAACGUAAGAGAUCCGGUAGUUUAUACGCUACCAGCACGUCGCACAACACAAUGGAUGUCAGGAGGAGAGAUGGACGGAGAUCACGCUCGCAACACAAACGAUUGCUAUUCUAUUGCUGAAAUUGCCGACAGCAGUAAGGGUGAGGUGGUCAUUAACCUACUCUUCGGGCGGUGCAUUAAUAUGAGGUUGUGCAAAGGUCGACGUCUACCAAUACUUAUUUCAUCACUCAAUUUCCAUUCCUCCCCUCACAAAUCCGCUUUUACUCCCGUAACCACUCCAUCGAUUGUUAUCUUCCUCCAUUUAUUAAUAAACAAGGUUUAUGCAGAAAAAAUUGGAUUUCUGAAGUGAUUUCUCGACUCUUCAUUGAUUCUCCAAACCCGAGUCUCUUCUCCACAAAUAAAAAUCUGAACUCGAUAACCAUCAGAUUAACAGCGAAACGCCUUAAUCUGCGCAAAACAUCUCUUUUUUUUUCCUUAACCGUAACUAAAUUUUGAAUGCUUUAACGUAUUUGUUUUAAAGAAUUGCGCUCCGCAUAAGAGUACGAUAUCCUCUCACAUUUUCGUUCCGUUCAAAAUAAAGGAUCAUUAUUUUAUCUCCAAAUUAAAAUUUCCAAAUCUAAAACUUAAAAAGUAAACUUUAGACAAGAAAUAAAAGGUUUUUCUCACAAAAUGAUUACUCUUUGAGAGGCUGGCAGCCUGACGAAGACCAUCUGAGAAAAGUUAAAGUGUCGGGUCAGCUUUUAUUGGAGUCUGGCAAGGAGAAUAAUAAUUUGGAUAGGGUCCGAGCAUCUGUUAACCUAUCGAGUGUUGAAAUUAGAUUAAAUUUCAAGGGAGUUCCGAAAAAGGGAUUCGGUCAAGGCUGAUUGGCCGGAAGUGUUGAGCGAUGUGCUAGAAACUGUCCACUUGCUCCGUCAUCUUAAUAGUUCUGCUUAUCUUUAAGUCCUUGAAAAAAUUCCCCUUCGCCGGGGGCGAGGAAGUCAACAUCGUGUCGAGAAUUUAUAGCUCAUAGAAACCCGCUCCUCACCGGAUUCUUUCUGCCCAUCCAGCCCUCCACUCGAAAACAAAGCAGGGCUCUGGCAAAUCCCACUUUCUGUGAAAACCCGUGGCUUCUCGGCUCCCCAGUCGACUUUAGAAAUAUAUUAGAGUUGUGCAACAAACACGAAAAAGCCAAGAAAGAAGCCUUUAAAGUUUUUCCGAACUGAGAUUUUUCCAACGUUUAGAUAUUUUUCGCUUUUCUUUCUCGAAAGAUUUUAGACGACUAACGGGAAUUUUCGAUGCUAGAUUUCCAACUAGGCCUUUUAAUAAUUAAUAUUAUAAACGGCGCGAAGAUUAAUUUGGAUUAAGUUUCGCUCCUAAUCUAUCAAAUCCGUAACUUAUUAGAUAUUUUCAGUCUCGAUAAAGUUUAGAAACAUUUACGAUAACAAGCAGACAAUUAAAUUGUUUUAAUGUCGAUCAUUUUAUCUGCGUCCUUUUAUUAAUAAAUCUAAUAUUCCUGCCG
rnacentral:lncRNA from 1 species